UGGACUAGUUUUAGGUAUGAAGGAUUCCAUCCACAUCUUGCAACGUCUUUGGACUUUAUAUUUGAAAAUGUGCACGCAUGUGCAUUCAAGAAAGGCAGAGAUGAUGCAUGUUCUCAUGUGAGUGAGUCCGAAACACUGAGGAGGCAGCUGCAGUGAGCUUUGUUAUUACAAUUUUGGCCUGACCUACAAGGUGGAAAAU
rfam:Vicugna pacos cont1.94711, whole genome shotgun sequence.